GAAAACAAUUGACUAAUAGAUAACUCGAUAAGCACUCAUAUGAUAGGUGUUUAAGCUACAAGCACUAAAUUAAGGUACCGUUUGGCCCAGCUUUUUUCCAGCUUUUCUACAUUUUUAAGGAGAAGCUAAUAUCAAUAAAGUACCUUCGAAAAAAAGUACUUUUUAAGAAUACAUAAAAUUGAAUGGAAUGAGCUUUAGCCAAAAGUUGUUGAAUGCUACUUCAAAAAACUACUAUGUAAUUUAUUUCACAAGCACUUUUCUUCAACUAACGCAUGCAACUUUAUCUUUUAUUUUUUAAUAUUAUAUUUCAAUUUGUUUUUUCUUCCAUUUAAUUUUUUUUUGAACCGGUCCAUAUAAUUUUUUAUAAAAGAGGAUCAAUUUAAUUUUAUUAUCUAUUUUUGAAGGAAUUUUAUUAUCUUUUUAUCACUUAUAUAUUUAAUUUUAAUAUCGUUUAAUUAUCACAACCUCACAAAUAUUUUUAUUCAUGUUGUGAUUGAAUGACACCAAAUAUUUUUAUUCCCUUUCUUCAACCUCACAAAUAUACACACACAUUAGCGUUUAGAUUAAUAUUUUAUGUCUGUAUGUUUGUUUUUUUUUGUUACGCUAAUGCGUAUAAUUUUUUCAGUGUUGCGUAAUGCGUACAAUUAUUAUUUUUAUAAAAUUUUGAUUUUAAUUAAAAGGACUAGUAUAGAUGCCUAAAAAAAUUAUACUUAUAUAUAUUUUACACAUUUAUAUCGUAACAAACUAUGCAUAUCUUUUUCUUAUUAAAAAAACUAAACAUAUCUUUUUCAAUGACACCAACAAUGUAACAAAUAUAAUAUCAUAUAAUAUAAAUUCUUAUCUUUUUAAAUGACACCAAAAAUAUGAUAUUCUUAUAACAAAAUUUGUUAUACAGUAUAAUUGGAAAAGAAAAAACAAAUUAUUCUCUAACUUAACUCAGUUGAUAUAGACAAUGUAUAAAUAUAUGCAAGGUCGCGGGUUCGAAUCCCGGACACCACCAAAAAAAUAAUAAAUUCAAAGUUUUGUGCAAUAUUUUGCCAAACAACUUUUAACUUAAAAAUAAAUUUAGAACUAAAAAAAAUAAAGAAACCAAACAGUUUUAGCUUUUUCCUUAAAGAGCUUUAUUUUAACUUUGUUUUAAAGUAGCUUUUAGACCGAAAAAAAGUCUGGCCAAACGGUACCUAAGUUGGUUAUCAAAAUCAUAGUUGUAUACAUUUAUAAUCACUGGACAACAAACUUACAUAAGGCCUGUUUGUAUUAACUUAUAUGAGCUUACACGUAAACACCACCUAUUGAAACCGUUUGGAAGAGUUUAUAAAAACAACUUAUAAUAUGUCUAUAAACUAAAA
rnacentral:lncRNA from 1 species